GACGAACGCUGGCGGCGUGCCUAAUACAUGCAAGUAGAACGCUGAAGGAGGAGCUUUCUCUUCUGGAUGAGUUGCGCACGGGUGAGUAACGCGUAGGUAACCUGCCUGGUUGUGGGGGAUAACUCUUGGAAACGAUAGCUAAUACCGCAUAAUAUCAGUUGUUGCAUGACAACUGUUUGAAAGGUGCAAUUUCAUCACUACCAGAUGGACCUGCGUUGUUUUAGCUAGUUGGUGGUGUUACGGCUCACCAAGGCGACGAUACAUAGCCGGCCUGAGAGGGGGGAUGGCCAAACUGGGAACGGGACACGGCCCAGACUCCCGAGGGAAGGAGCAGGAGGGGAACUUCGGGAAAGGAGGGAAGGCUGGACGGGGCAAGCCGCGGGGGGGGAGGAGGGUCUCGGGUCGUAAAGAUCUGUUGUAAGGGAAGAAAGAGUGUGAGAGUGGAAAGUUCACAUUGUGACGGUAUCUAACCAGAAAGGGACGGCUAACUACGUG
rnacentral:rRNA from 1 species